GUUGAUGCAGCUUCUGUUCAAAGCUAUCUAAGCAAGAGUUCUCAAGCUCUUUGCCGGAGAGAAACUCCCUCCACUUAGCAUGGUUGGUCCACACCUCUUUGGCUACCUCACUCUCAUCAUCCAUCACAGUUUUCACAGCCUUGCAGACACCCUCCGUUGUAAACACCCCAUCUUCAUCUUCUUUCUCAACCUCCACUCCCACUUUCAAAUCCCUGCUCAUCAUUCUUGCAUUGAUGAUCUGAUCUCCCAUAUUUGGCAGCAGCACCAAUCGGCACUCAUUCACCAGAGCCUCCGAUAAAGACCCCGAACCGCAAUGGGUCACAAAGCACCCCACAGAAGGGUGCUUCAAUAUCAAUGGCUGCUGAACCCAACCCCCAUGAACAAUUCCUUUUCCUUGCACCCUCUCUUCAAACCCUUCUGGCAAUGCUGCCUCAAUCGAUUCGACUCCCAUGGGUGGCUUCAGGGCUGCGAAGAAUGGCAGACCCGUAAGCUCAAAACCCAAUAGCAAUUCCUGGAACUGAGCCUUGUUCAGAAUGCAUUCACUGCCAAACGCACAGUAUAUCACGGUUUUGGCUUUGAACCCAUCAAACCAUUUUGCCCAUUUCUCAUCUAACUCUGUAGUUGGGGACUCUGGCACCACCGGCCCUGCAAGAAUCACUGGCUUUCCAAACUGGGUUUCAACAUAAUCACAAUAAGGCCCUUCCAUUUCUCUGCAAGUUUUGAAAGCAAUGGCAUCACAGUUGCUAAAAGAGCCCAUUUGGCGUUCCAGGAAUGUAACCCCACGCCCAAACUCCAUCAAUGAGGCACCCACCAGCGCUCGAGCUUCGUGGGUUUGUAGCUUGAUUGAUGAUGCAGGGAAAGAUGGUGGAGGCUCCAUAAGAUCAGCUUCUGUCAAUGAUAUUUCCAAAAGUUUUCUUUCCGGGCACAUCAGAAACCCCACAGUUGCAGGACUAAUUGUGCAGUAAUACACAGACUUGAUGCCUAUAUCCAGCUUAUGCAACAACUCGGGCAGCCAAUGUGUGAAGUCAAAGAAAACAAAGUUGGGCCUGAGCUCACAAAGUGCUUGUUCAAUGGCAGGGCGUGUGAGGUCCAUGGCGGUCACGAGGAGAGGCUGCAAGAGGGAAGGAACGUCGGCUGUGGUUUCGGUGCCGGGAGGAAGGCCGUCGACAUGUGGGACGUCGAUUGGGAUGAAGGAAAUGCGAUGAGAGUGGAGAUUAAAAGCCUCCAACUUUUGUUGUACUUUUGAUGGUGAAAAGAAGGAGAUUCUGUGGCCUCUUUGAGCAAGUUUGUUGGAGAUGUGCAGAAAUGAGGUCAGGUGCCCCAUGGCAAACCAAGGGUACAUGGCAAUGUGAAGGGUUUGGUCAGCCAUAUUUGCAGCAAGUAAAUUGGGUGAAAUCAAGGAAAUCACCUAAUUUUGAUGGGUUUGAGCCUGGUGGUGCUGAGCUUGAGCUUGGUAAUGCAGGGAGAGGUAGUUGGAAGCUCUUGAGUUGAGGUGCGUGGUUGCGGUGAUAAAUUUGGGUAAGUGGGGAUGUGAGGGCGUUAUUGUGAGGUCGUUAUUAUUUAUUGUUGGACUCUUACCUAUGCAUUUUCUUUUAUUUAAUGUAAAUAUAAAUGGAGGCAGAACUUUGACAAAAAAGUGGUUCAAAUUGAUCUUUAUCUUUAAUAAUAUCAAUCUUCUUUUAUUUAAUGCAAAUAUAAAUAGAGGCAGAAGUUUGCCAAAAACGUGGUUCAAAAUGAGCUUUCUCUUUAAUAAUAUCAAUUUUCUUUUAUUUAAUGCAAAUAUAAAUAGAGGCAGAACUUUGCCAAAAAAGUGGUUCAAAAUGAACUUUCUCUUUAAUGAUAGUGUGGAUAAGAUUGAGUUGAUACCCUUGUUUUUUUUGAAAUAUUUUUGCUCACUACUUUAAUCUAAGGUGUAUGCUCAUAUUUUUUCUUAAUACUUGAUAUGUAUCUAUAGGCAUAACCAUAGUUAACUUUUUAUUUUGAUUUGCAUAAUCAUGAUUAUGCUUAUAAACAUGUUUCAAGUGUUAAUAAGGUGAUGAGCAUACAUACCUUGGAUUAAAGUGGUGAAAAAAAAUGCCUCCCUUUCUUUUCCUAGCUAAACAUCAAGUGAAUAUAUAUUUUUUUUUUUGGGGGUGUCACAACAAAUUGUACACUUCAAAUUUUGUGGUUGGACCAGAUGGAUUUAAAAUUAUGGAAUUGGUCCUUGUUAGUCAGCCCAUAAUAAUAAUGGGCUAUAAAUUGAGUUCCAAAUAAUUGGGUCCUUGUUUACUCAUGGUCAGUUUGUUAUUGCUGUGCUGUGAAAAUAAUUAUUGUCAGAUUUGCUGUGAGAGAAAGUAGUUUGGCGUUUGGUAAAAUUUUUAUUAAAAGUGUUGUUGGUACUAAUUCCCGUAUAAUUAGAAAAUGAUUUGAACAUAAUCAAUAAACCUAGCGUCUCUUCAAAAUUGAUUCCUACAUAAUCAGAAAAUGAAAGCACCUCAUUAGCUGCUUUCCCUUAUAGAUUUCUCUCACAGCAAUUUUUAACAAUAAGUGAUUUUCUCAUAAUUUGUAAUAUUCCACAUCGAUCCCACAUCGACCAACGGAGAGGGAGUGAUGUGCCUUAUAUGUACAUGCCCACCUCCAUCUAGCACGAGGCCUUUUGGGAGCUCACUGGCUUCGGAGUCAUGGGAACUCUGAAGUUAAGCAAGUUAGUUGCUCGUGAGUUCCUAAAAACAAAACCUUGAGGGCAGUGGCCCAAAGCACACAAUGCCGGAUAAGCAACUAUCAUGUGUUGUCGUUGCAAAUUCCACUAAUUCGUCAAAUAAGAAGGUACUUCAGUGCAUAUGUUAGCUUUAUCUCUUGGUUAAGUUAAUCAUUUAAGACCUGAAGCAUGCAUGUGAAGAUUUUAGUAAAACAAAUGUAAAAUUUUGUUAUUAGAUCUGUUGUCAACCCAGAUUGCAAUUGCUGCAGGUAUGUCAGGGACCCUUUGAUCAAUUGAGUUCAGAUUGGAUAAUGAAUUUGAAAUCGGUGCAAUGCUAACUGGUUACGUUUAUUUCAGACGGCCUCUUUCUUGUUAGAAAGCUAUCUGUCACCCUUGCAAGUGGAAUUUUUCUCAUUACAAUCAGUGCUCUUGGCCAACUUGGUUUUACCUAUCCACAUAAAGGUGGAAAGUACUUGAGAGAAGACAGGUCUUUUCAAUCAUCUGAAGUUGAUGGUGCACUAUAUCAGUCGGUGGAUGCUGUGAAGGUAUGCAUGCACCGAGAGGAAUGAUAAUAUCAUGUCAAUCAAAUUGAAAAUAUUUUGGAUUCUGUAAUGAACUUAUCUAUAAUUAGUUUGUGAACAAUUUUCACUGGAGGCUUCCUAAAAUGGGAGAAUGAGAAGCAGGUUGCAUAUAUAGAAGUUCUCCUACAAGUGUACUCAAUAAAGGGUUGUGAUUAAAUGAAAAAUAAAGAUUUACCUUUUCGCCUCAUCUUACAAUGCUUCUUAGUUGGUCUGAGAAAAAUAUGAAUUUGGGACUCUGUUUGUACAGUUGGAAGCAUUUUGCGUCUCACUUGUCGAAAAGAUGAAAGAUGCCUUGGGUUGGCCGGGUGAGAUCAAGAUGGAAACAGAUGUGGGUGCUUGGACUGGUAAAGUACCAAAUUACUUGAGGAUGGUAGUUGAAGAUUCGUCCAACAGGGAAGACAUGUCAACUUUUUCUUCCUCUUCAGAGAAAAUUGAUGAAGACUUGAAAGCAUCAGCACAAGAUAUCGCUAGUUAUCAGGUAACUUGUGUGUAAAAGUUUACUUUCAUGUGUUUUUUCAGCCACCAUUCAAUUUGGUUAUCUUUCUCCUUCACAAUUAUUUCUAAGAUAUUGUGACCACCUAUAUGGAGAAAUGUCUUAUAGGUUACAUCUUUAGGAUGCUGGUGUACCAUAUCAUUGCCAUCAUGUGGUAUUUGGGAAAAUCAUGAUCAUGUAGCUCUCGGCUUAUUACUCAAUUGUUGAUUAUCCUCCUUGUACCUUUUCAAUGUCUUUAACAUUUCUGCAUACUCUUUGGAAAAAUUUAGGUGGUUCUGUCAACCGAUGGUAAGAUAGUGGGCUUCCAACCUUUGAGCAGUGUGGCUGUUAACCAGUGGGCUGCCAAUCCCUUAGCAAAAGAAUUAUAUAGAGGGCGAAAACUUUCACCUGGUAAGUGCUAGCUGUUUUUGUAAUCUAUUAUUAUUGUGUUAUUAGCUGCCACUAACCUUUGAGAUUGUCUCAAAUAGGUUUAACAGAACCGGGUCUUAAGGUCCAGCGUCCAAAUGAGUUGCUGUCAUAGAGUUGUUGAUUUCAGUAAAGCCCGAUGCCUGUUUUGCUUUGGCCAGGCCAGUUCGAUAAUUAUCGUCUGGUAAUUGCGUAUAAGGAUGAGCAUGCACAUCUCGGUGAUGCCAGUGGCACUACAUGUGGUUUGGCACCUGCAGUGUCGAGUUUUAGAGCUUAGAGCGUCUUUGAGAUAUAUCGACUGAAGCAAACCAGAAUGUUCACCCUCUUUGAGAUAUUGGAAGAUGCACCCUGUGGGUUGUGGUUUGUUACCUUUGAGUAAGUCACUCUCGUGGAUGUGGCCUGAUAUAUAACUUACUCGCCAGGAAUAAAACGUCGAAAAGUUACUUGUGUAUCAUUAUCUUAGAAAAGGAAGAGUCAAUGUUCAGUUCCUUCUCAAUACAUGUUUACGAACUUGAAAAAAAAAAAUUUGAUUAAGAAGAUCGUUUGUCACACACAUAACAAAAGAAAUUGGUGAGAAUUAAAGUAUUGUCUGUUUGUCAAAGAAGAAGACCCUUGAUUAAGCUCAAUAAUAAUAAAACUCAAUUAUAAGAUUGGAAAAAUUAUACAAGUGUGCGUGUGUGUGUGAAUUAAAGCAAUCAGGGGGCCUUUAAAGUUAUACACAGAAAAUUCAUUGAAGCAGUUGAUGCAGCUUCUGUUCAAAGCUAUCUAAGCAAGAGUUCUCAAGCCCUUUGCCAGUGAAAAACUCCCUCCACUUAGCAUGGUUGGUCCUCACCUCCUUGGCUACCUCACUCUCAUCAUCCAUCACAGUUUUCACAGCCUUGCAGACACCCUCCGUUGUAAACACCCCAUCUUCAUCUCCUUUCUCAACCUCCACUCCCACUUUCAAAUCCCUGCUCAUCAUUCUUGCAUUGAUGAUCUGAUCUCCCACAUUUGGCAGCAGCACCAAUCGGCACUCAUUCAUCAGAGCCUCCGAUAAAGACCCCGAACCGCAGUGGGUCACAAAGCACCCCACAGAAGGGUGUUUCAAUAUCAAUGGCUGCUGAACCCAACCCCCAUGAACAAUUCCCCUUCCUUGCACCCUCUCUUCAAACCCUUCUGGCAAUGCUGCCUCAAUCGAUUCGACUCCCAUGGGUGGCUUCAGGGCUGCGAAGAACGGCAGACCGGUAAGCUCAAACCCCAAUAGCAAUUCCUGGAACUGAGCCUUGUUCAGAAUGCAUUCACUGCCAAACGCGCAGUAUAUCACGGUUUUGGCUUCGAACCCAUCAAACCAUUUUGCCCAUUUCUCAUCUAACUCUGUAGUUGGGGACUCUGGCACCACCGGCCCUGCAAGAAUCACUGGCUUUCCAAACUGGGUUUCAACAUAAUCACAAUAAGGCCCUUCCAUUUCUCUGCAAGUUUUGAAAGCAAUGGCAUCACAGUUGCUAAAAGAGCCCAUUUGGCGUUCCAGGAAUGUAACCCCACGCCCAUACUCCAUCAAUGUGGCUCCUACCAGCGCUCGAGCUUCGUGGGUUUGUAGCUUGAUUGAUGAUGCAGGGAAAGAUGGUGGAGGCUCCAUAAGAUCAGCUUCUGUCAAUGAUUUUUCGAAAAGUUUUCUUUCGGGGCUUAUCAGAAACCCAACAGUUGCAGGACUAAUUGUGCAGUAAUGCACAGACUUGAUGCCUAUAUCCAGCUUAUGCAACAACUCGGGCAGCCAAUGUGUGAAGUCGAAGAAAACAAAGUUUGGCCUGAGCUCACAAAGUGCUUGUUCAAUGGCAGGGCGUGUGAGGUCCAUGGCGGUCACGAGGAGAGAGUGCAAGGGGAAAGGAACGUCGGCUGUGGUUUCGGUGCCGGGAGGAAGGCCGUCCACAUGUGGGACGUCGAUUGGGAUGAAGGAAAUGCGAUGAGAGUGGAGAUUAAAAGCCUCC
rnacentral:lncRNA from 1 species